GGGUCCGACACGCUACGCCGCCUGAAGGAUGGCUCGGCUUGGGCGCCGAGGAAGGGCGUGGCAAGCUGCGAUAAGCCCCGGGUAGGCGCAUGCAGCCUUAGAUCCGGGGAUCCCCUAAUGGGACUUCCCGCCGUAGAUUAAUCUACGGCGCUCCCGUAUAGGGAGCGGGAACCCUCCGAAAGGAAGCAUCCAAGUAGGAGGAGGAGGAGAAACCAAUAGGGAUUCCCUGAGUAGCGGCGAGCGAAAAGGGAGGAGCCCAAACCGAACCCGCCUGGGAAACUAGGCGGGGAUGUGGGGUAGAAGGGACCGGCUGCAUCCUCCCCGGUGAAGCCGAGGUGGCCUGGAACGGCCCGCCAUAGAGGGUGAAAGCCCCGUAGGUGUAAGCCGGGUGGAUUUGAGCCGGUAUCCCUGAGUACUACGCCUCUGCUCUGGCGUAGGAACCUGGGAGAAAGCAACUUCCAAGGCUAAAUACGUCCCAAGACCGAUAGCGCACUAGUACCGUGAGGGAAAGCUGAAAAGCACCCCGGAAGGGGGGUGAAAAGAGCCUGAAAUC
rnacentral:rRNA from 1 species